AAAUACAGUAUUUCUCUGAGAUGUAGUGGUGUAGCAUGAAAAGAGAAGACUCAAGGAAAGUACAAUUCCUUUAAAUUUGUACUAGUUCUUGAGUAAAUGUACUUAGUUACAUCCUAUGUGAAGCCGUGACAUUGCUUUUUGUGGGGGUUCAGUUAUUUUGGAGGUGGAGGAGGAACAUGCUCUGCUGGAGGUUUUGAUGCUCUCACCUGCAUCCAGCAGCUUCUUCACCACCUGAAAGUUGGAGUGCGACACGCUGUAGUGCAGCGCCGUGUUGCCGUUGCCGUCAGCCAUGUUGACGACGUGGCGCAGCACGGCCGGCGAGAUGGCCCCGAAGGCCACCAGGUAGUCCUCCACCAUGCCCGCCACCGCCGCCUUCUGGCUGGACACGCGGAACCACUCGUGCUGCACCGUGUUCAGGCAGGCUCUCUGAGGAGGCAGGAGAGGGACUCGUUACUGACAGUAUCUGUGUGUGUAGGCACUGUGCACAAACCAAAAAACUAACAAGUCCAUGCUCAUACAUGCUGAUUAAACUAAAUAUUACACAUUUAAA